rnacentral:lncRNA from 1 species
GGCCGAGCUGCCCGGCUGGCGGGGCGGGGGGAGGUUUCCUCUCAGGCGGCGGCGGGGCUGUGCGGUGGGGGUGGGCUACGAGGGGGCCUUUGCUGAGACUUCUGAAUCGCACGCACCCAGAGCCGUCAGGGCCUGUCCCCUCGGCGGCAGCAGGGCCUCGACUGCCACGGGAAGGCGCCCUGUCCUCGCCCGCCCGCCCCGCGGCCUGCACUCGCCUGCCCGCCUCGCCGUCUGCAGUGCCCGGGCUUUGCCGGUCUGGCAGGAAGAUAUAUGGUCUUUCUGUAAUGCUGGCAACAGAUGCUAUAAGGCUGCUAGUGAUGGCUACGUACUUUUCUUCUUUAUUGCUGAAAGGGGCUGAAGCAUUUAGACUGAGUCGGCUGAUCAGGCCAAACAACACAAUAUCAUAUUAGUCAAUAUAACAGCAAAAGCGGCCUCCAUUGGAGAAAAUGGUAAGAACUGUUUUCACGUUGUGACAUAAGUAUUUGUGCUAUAAAUGUGUCAGCUGUUUUGUCUGACUGACAUAGUUGUAGUCUUGUGGCAAAUAGUGUAAUUAGUUAUCAGGUGUUUAAGAUACAUGUUGCGAAUAGUAAAACUAUUGUUUAAAAAAUGUACUGUCAAAAGUUUUUUUGUGAAAUUUUAUUUAUACAAGAAAAGAUAACUACUCUUAAAUUGUGUGCUGUCUUAUUUUUAAGAACAAGUCUGCAUACAUGGCUUUUCCAUAGAACUGGUUGCUAAAUGUAGUUUCUGGGACAUUUGUGAUUUGCCCCAGAAAAUUAAAACUCCAUCCCAACCAGACCCAGUACUCUGUCUCACUCUGGGUUGUGAUCAUGCUGAGUCAUGUAAACCAGGCACUUCUGAGCUACUGGUAAUCACAUAAUUGGAAACCUUGACAGAGAAUCCACAAGCAGGAAGACUGACAGUUGGUAUUGAUGAGGUGUGUAAUAUUCUUCCCUCCUAGUCACCAUUAUACUGAUGUCUCAGGACAUACAAAUGGGUCUACAGCUGGAAUAAUAAAUUGAAUGCUGUACUUAGAGAAGUCAGUAUGAGUUUUGCUACUGUUUUCACAUAGCAAUGAUCUUGCAUCUUAGUUUUCCUAUGGAUUUCAAGUCCUUACAUCCUUUAGACAUAAAAAUGAAGCAGUAUUGUUAAUACAGAAGAACAUAUACAGUCCAGGAACACUGGAUACUUCAGAAAACGUUUUUUUAUAUAUGCUGCUUAUAUUUCAUGAAGGGUAUUUGAACUGUGUAUCCAAAUUUUGUUUGGUUCCCUGAAAUGCCUCUUUUUUCUUUUUUUUUUUUAAAUUUCUAAAUCUGUGCCUAAGUUCUGCAAAUACUUGCAUAAUGUCUUUUUAGCUCCAAGUCUGGGACUAGGCCUGUUGCCACUUUUUGCCAUACAUGAUGUUAAUUAUUUUCUUUGGAGAAAGUGUGUUAGCUUGUAACCUCCAGAUUAAGGGCUGGGGAUGAAUUCCAAAUCUUAUUAGUAAAACUUUAUUUCUCUCCAUGUGUUGUUGAUUCUUUUUCAGUCAUCCACAGAGCUGUAUAAAUACCAACAUGGGUAACCAUAAUUUAAAGGUAAAAAUCUCAGGACUGACUUUCCUAAAAUGAAACAUAUGUUUGAGUUUUAUAUCAAUUGAGGUUUCAGAAGUUUUAUUUCAGUUCCAUGGAAAUUCUUCAUGGUGUAAGAAAUUCAAACUUUAAUCCUUAGGAUUACUUUUUUGAGAAUACGGUUUCUUCUUUUGUGGUGUUACAUAAAAUGCAGGCUGUAAGUAGCUGUCCCAGAGUUCUCAGAACAGCCCCAGAAAGUCUUACCAAAGACAUUCUGUUGAUCGUUACAUUCUCAACUGUUGCUCUGUCAUCUUACUAGAAACUUAACAAGAUAAAUAAAUUGGAACAUGAAGUCAGUACAUAUCUAGAGUAAUGCAAUUCUGAAAUAGGGAAACUGACCAAUAUAUAUCUAAAUAUAUGCCAGAUAUAUAGCUGAUAGCUGAAGAAACUGAGAUUUCCGCUAAAGGGGUGUGUAUGUACAUAUAUAUACAUACGUUCCGUGUAGAAGCCAGAAGACUGGACACUUCCGUGUCUCAAAAAUACAAGGUCCCUCAAAAAGAUGUGUAACAUGGACUAAAUCCAAGAAGCAGGAUGUGCUACAGUGUAGCCAUUACAGUAUUUCAGUGUAGUAUUACUCAUCUUUCUGGCUCUGACACCCAAGACAGGGCUUCUUUUAUUCUUGGCAAGCGUCAACUGUCUCUUUUGACCUCAGAGACUAGUGCCAUUCUCUGACAUUAUGUACCGUUCCUAAGAAUGUCAUCAUGGCUUUGGGCACUCAGGACUUCUCCUUGAACUCAUGUGAAGGUGCGAUUGGAGUAGGAUAGUCACGCCACUGACCUUCAGAUGUUUUAACUUGGGCUUCCUGUAGACGCAGUGGCAAGAAAUGCUCAGAACAGUUUCAGGCCCAAGUUAAAUUCUUGUUCUAGAGGUGCAGUUAUGCCACAUGGUACAGCUAAGGAAUAUAACCAUAACCCGAAUUGCCCUCUGGAGGAAUCUUGCUUUCUUCACUAGCCUCUUAGUUUAGAUAUCAAAAUUAAUGUCUACUAUUGGGUGACACAGUUAUCCUACAGCAUGAUAAAAGGCAAGGAAUGAACAUUUAGAAAACAAAUUUCUUAACCCAUGACUUAUCUUUAAAGGACUUGAAAACAAUGGCUUUUUGACAAUAGCAAAUGGCCCAGGACAUUUCCUGUUUUGGUCUGAAUUAAUUUUUUUUCCCCCUUUUAUUUCUUUUUUUAAUGUUUCUUUUUUCCUUUUUUUAAAUUUUGCUUAUAUUUUAUUAAUAUUUCAGGCUGGGCAUUGCCCAUCCUGUAGGAAAAACAGAAGGCAGGGAGCUUAAUACACACUAGACAUCUGCCCUGCAUAGAAUGAAGUCAUACUCCAGAAGACAAGGGCCUGUAUUUGUGCCAUGCAAUCGGACUACCGUGCUCUUUGCAGUCCUUGAGGAGAAACACAGUCUUCUUCCCUGAAAGUGGACCAGCAGGUGAAAGGUGAUGAAAACUCAUGAAGUCUCAGCUGCUUCUCAAAGGGUGGAUUAAUGAGCAGCUAAUUUUUUAAAACACAUUCUUAUACCAUUAUUUUCAGCCAAAUCAGCAAGUAGAUCUAUGUGACCAAACAGGUGCUAGGACAGCAGAAGAGCAGACAGAAAUGCUGGUGGGACAAAAGGGCAGUGCUGCUUCUCUUCUGUUAGGCUGUCCUAGAUUGGCUAAAUUGCUUGUGAAGUCGCAUCUUUGGCAAUUUUUCAGCAAGGAGUCAAAUAGGCAGGUGGCUGGCUAGAUUACAGUCUUUGGGCAUAUCCAGACUUGCAGAGUUAAGAGUAUUUCCAAACGUAAUUCCACAUAUAGUUCUCAGUUUGAUGUUGCCCUGCCUGAUGUUGUCACAACAUGCUGCAGCCAAGGAUAAGCAGAGUUUUGGAACAGGCCAGAUUACUCUACUGAAAAUUUGCUCACAGCUGAAAUCUGAAGAAAUGGAAAGGUUUCCAUUGAAAUGAUGAGUGUUACCAAGCACUGGCUGAUCUGACCCUCUGUAGCAGAAUACACCCCAUUUUGCAAAAACGGAGAUGUAGGCAGUGAAAUUCCAUUGUUAGUAAUUCAGUUUUGUGCAUCUGAAUUUCCCUUUGCUGUUUCAACAGAUUAUAGGAUCUGACUGCAGUUCCAGUCAGGUGCUUUUGUGUAGUGUUGCCAAGUACUGUCAUACUACCACGUUUCAUCAUGUAUGUGGGUGCACUGAAGAAUACACACACAUUUAUAAAGCACCAUAAGAUCUUUCUGGCUGAAGGGCAUUAUAAAAAGAAGGUAAUUAUUCCAACAAUAAAUCCAAAUAUUCUAUAUAAAGCAGAUUUUGGCAUUGUGAAAAGAACAAAAACAUGGAACAAUUUAUAGGUAAGGAGGAAUCCUUUUAUUUUGAGGAUAAUAUUAGUAUAAAGUUAGAAAUUAGUCAUUCUCUAACUCAUUUCUGUGUUACUCAUGCUCUUGGCAAAUUAAUUAUCCAAGAUAAGUCACUCAGAUGCUAAAGUUUUAUUAUUGUUUUAAUCAGAUGGCUAUUGCUGUUACAAAUAAACAUGAGCCUCGAUUUCAGAUAUAACAAAUGUGGCUAUACCCUGAAAAUUAUGCCACAGUGCUGCUUGAGGAUGUGUUACACAUGCCAAAUGUUUUUAUCUGAUAUUUUGUUUUCAGUUUUAGGUGGAUGGUGUAGCCAGCUACUGGGUGUCUAAAGCAGCCAUGGCCACCAAGAACCUCAGCAGUGAACUUGGACAAGGAAAAUCUAAUGUGGUGUGUAUUUCCUUCCAUCCAGGAACUGUGAUUUAUUAAAACCUCAUCACAGGAACAUUCUUAUGAAUAAACUUUUCACCUCAGAAUUCUUAAUAAACUGUUUGAUAAAUAUUGUUGAGAGCAUUAAUAUGGGGAUGAUGGGAAGAUCCAUGCCAUCUUUGCUUGGGACAGAUAUAGUACCAUAUUGUUGGCUGUAACCCUCUCUCUUUGUUUUGUUUCUUUUUCUCUCCCCACCC